rnacentral:rRNA from 1 species
CCUACGGGAGGCAGCAGUGAGGAAUAUUGGUCAAUGGCCGGAAGGCUGAACCAGCCAUGCCGCGUGAAGGUCAGUGCCCUAUGGGCGUUAAACUUCUUUUGUGCGGGGGCAAUAAUGGUCACGUUUGGCCAGUCGAGAGUAACGUACGAAUAAGCAUCGGCUAACUCCGUGCCAGCAGCCGCGGGAAUACGGGGGAUGCAAGCGUUAUCCGGAUUUAUUGGGUUUAAAGGGUGCGUAGGCGGCCUUUUAAGUCAGUGGUGAAAGUCUGCGGCUCAACCAUAGAAUUGCCGUUGAAACUGGGAGCCUUGAGUAGGGUUGAGGCAGGCGGAAUGCGUGGUGUAGCGGUGAAAUGCUUAGAUAUCACGCAGAACCCCGAUUGCGAAGGCAGCCUGCCAAGCCAUGACUGACGCUGAUGCACGAAAGUGUGGGGAUCAAACAGGAUUAGAUACCCCAGUAGUC